rnacentral:tRNA from 1 species
GUCUGGUUAGCUCAGUCAGUUGAGCGUAGCACUAACAACGCUAAGGUUGCGGGUUCGAUUCCCGUCCGGUCC